rnacentral:rRNA from 1 species
UACAGAGGCCCCGAGCGUUAAUCGGAAUCACUGGGCUUAAAGGGUGCGUAGGCGGGUCAGUAAGCGCUUUGUGAAAUCCCACAGCUCAACUGUGGAACCGCAGGGCGAACUGCUGAUCUUGAGGAAGCUAGAGGCUGGUAGAACGAUAGGUGGAGCGGUGGAAUGCGUAGAGAUCUGCAAGAAUACCCGUGGCGAAGGCGGCCAGCUGGGCCGGAUCCGACGCUGAGGCGCGAAAGCGUGGGGAGCAAACAGG